CAUUAGCCGCGAUUGAAACGACAUCCUUUUUUGUUGCGGCCGGAGCGAAGCGCAGGCCGUAACAAAAAAGAUACAGUGGAAAGCGGGAAAUAGC
rfam:Chryseobacterium sp. IHB B 10212 strain IHBB 10212, complete genome.